rnacentral:rRNA from 1 species
UCGAGAAUCUUCCGCAAUGGACGAAAGUCUGACGGAGCGACGCCGCGUGGUUGAUGAAGUCCUUAGGGACGUAAAAACCUUUUAUGAGGGAAGAAGUCUAUUGACGGUACCUCAUGAAUAAGGGGCUCCCAAUUCUGUGCCAGCAGGAGCGGUAAUACAGAAGCCCCGAGCAUUAUCCGGAUUUACUGGGCGUAAAGGGUGUGUAGGUGGUGUGAUUAGUCGGGCGUAAAAUCCUAGGGCUCAACCCUAG